GGAUAUUAAUUUUCUAUUUAUUCAUAAUUCAUUUUCAAGGGCUCCUUAAAAUGACUUAUCAUAUGUCAUAUAUUGCCACUUUUCCUACAGAAUUCCUUUCUGAGAAAUAAAAACUAGAAAAUCCAGAGGGAUCCACAGUAAAAGGGUUGUGGAGUACCAUUUAUCAGAAGGAAGAAAGCUAAAUAAUAGCCCAAUAAUAUAAAACUAUAUCAAGAGUAAUUAGUGGAAUCUUAUUCUCUAAUCUGUUUAUAUCCAUACGCUUAGCACCAAAGAAAAUUUAUAGUAUAAAAGACUAUAAUUUAAUAGAAAUUUGAGUAUUAAAUUUUUUAUUUUGACUUAAUAUUUAAUUUGUUAGUAAGAUGAUAGC
rnacentral:lncRNA from 1 species